UACAGAGGGUGCGAGCGUUUAAUCGGAAUUACUGGGCGUAAAGCGCGCGUAGGCGGCUUUGCAAGUCGGGUGUGAAAUCCCCAGGCUUAACCUGGGAACUGCAUUCGAGACUGCAUUGCUAGAGUAUGGGAGAGGGCAGUGGAAUUUCCGGUGUAGCGGUGAAAUGCGUAGAUAUCGGAAGGAACAUCAGUGGCGAAAGCGACUGCCUGGACCAAUACUGACGCUCAUGUGCGAAAGCGUGGGGAGCAAACAGG
rnacentral:rRNA from 1 species